rnacentral:rRNA from 1 species
AACACCACACGGGUCGAUACGUGCAAUAUUUAGUACCCAUCGUUUACAGCUAAGACUACUGGGGUAUCUAAUCCCAUUUGCUACCUUAGCUUUCGUCUCUCAGUGUCAGUAAUACCCUAAUAGAAUGCUUUCGCCAUCGGUGUUCUUUCCAAUAUCUACGCAUUUCACCACUCCACUGGAAAUUCCUUCUACUUCGACCAUACUCUAGUUAAGCAGUUUCUACCGCAUCUUCGAAGUUAAGCCUCGAUCUUUAACAAUAGACUUACAAAACAACCUACAGACGCUUUACGCCCAAUAAUUCCGGAUAACACUUGCAUCCUCCGUCUUACCGCGGCUGCUGGCACGGAGUUAGCCGAUGCUUAUUCUUCAAGUACACGUCAGAACUUCCUCCUUGAAAAAAGAGGUUUACGACCCAAAGGCUGUCAUCCCUCACGCGGCAUUGCUCUGUCAGGCUUGCGCCCAUUGCAGAAAAUUCCUCACUGCUGCCUCCCGUAGGAGUUUGGACCGUGUCUCAGUUCCAAUGUGGCUGAUCAUCCUCUCAAAUCAACUACUGAUCAUCGUCUUGGUCAGCUUUUACCUAACCAACUAACUAAUCAGACGCGAGCUUAUUUCUAGAUAGACUUUCUUUUCACUGUAAAGCAUAUAAGGGUUUAAUACAAAUAGUAUCCCUUUUCUAGGAGGUAAAUUCUCACGUGUUACUCACCCGUCCGCCACUAAAAUAAUUUCGUACGACUUGCAUGUGUUAGGCAUGCCGCUAGCGUUCAUCCUGAGCCAGGAUCAAACUCU